rnacentral:lncRNA from 1 species
GAACUCUGUAAAUCUGUCUCCCAGCAGUCACGCAAACAACUUAUCAGUAGUGACUUACAGUAAGGGGCUCCAUGGGCCUUACCCCUUCGGCCAGUCUUAAACGGGUGUCAGCAAGAAGAAAAAUUAACAAAAGACAGAAGGCCUGACUUUGGGGGGUUAGGGCAAGGGGUUCCUCUGGAUUGCAGACCACAUCGCACAGACCCCUGGCUCUGACCCCCUCUCAUCCCGGAAGAAGAGGAAGAAGCAGAACAGACUAGUUUUGAGUAAACUCAGUAUGCAUGUGUGAAUGCUGAAUCACAGGAAUGGUGUUGAGGCUACCAAGAAGAAAUCCAUGCAGCCACUUUGGGUUUUGUUAUAGGCAUCAGUCUAACAAGUCAUUAGGUCACUCGGGAAGGGGGAAAAAGUUUAAAAUGGGGGAAAAAAAGCCAUCUUUUUAAACAAAAAUUAUUUUGCCUACAGAAAGGUUGUAGUUUUGAGCACAUGUUAAUUUUUUUCCCUCUUUCCCCACUUUUAUUUUUUUAAAUAAGGGAUAACAUAUUCUUUAUAGAAUAGUGCUUGUUCUGGAAGAGAUUCAGGUGAAAAGUUGGCGUGGCAUGUUUGAGGACUCUGCGGAUCAGUGCUACAGGAGUACAUCUGCCCUGCCACAUGACUCCAGAAGUCUCUGACCCCAUUUGUUUUUAAUGGCAUCAGCCAAUGAGUUAUCACCCUUUUCCUCCUCUUUUCUCUUUAAUCUUCUGUUGAUUUACACCUUUGACAUUUGUAUUCGUCAACCCUGUGGCUUGUUAGCAUCAGAACCUCUCUGAAGACCAAACUUCCCUGUGUGGCCAGCAGAGGAAGCCUUGAGGAUAGAUCUCGGGUGACGUGGGAUUUUCUAAGCCUGAGAGGUGUCCUUCUGCACACCCUUGUAACAAUUAAAAUUGCUUUUCUUCCAUGUUUCUCUUGGCAGAGAGAAAUGCCAUCAUGCUUACUGCUCUUUUGGAUUCUUCAUGCAGUGGCUUCCCAUUUGCUCUGGGAACAGUGCCUCUGUGCUGGUUAUAUGUAUGCACCACAUGUGCACACACGGGUGUUGGUGCAACUCACCAGCAGGUGUGCAGUAGGCAAGCUUGAAGGUGGCCCAUGCUUCUCUGUUGUCACACAACACCUUUCCCUGUUUCUCUUCAGUUGUCCUCUGAUAUUUUCACAGCCUGUUAGUGGCGGCUGAUCUGUAGAGGUAUGAAAAUACAGCCCCAAAGGGGGAAUUUGUCAUGGGGAAGGGCCAGCCACUGACUACUUGAUCUUGGAGACCACAUUUAGAUGGAAAUGAGAGGACCUCCACAGCCCCGCCUCCCUGCCAGGAUGCUAGAUUAUUGGCUGGGAGGUGGGCAAGUGGCAGCCCAGCUGAAGCAAGAGGCUGAUUGACUGGCUGCUCACUCAGGCAGGUGGCCUGCCCUGGCAUCCUGUAGAUUCUGAGCAGGUUGAGAUGUGGAUAUCUCCAUGGGAAGCUUGAACCAGGCUAGAACAGCUGUCUGCCAAAGAUACAAGAAUAUGCAAAGUCCCUCUUACCCCCCUCCUUCCCUCAAGUCUUAGUUGGUUUGAGAGCCAGGGAUAUGGAUCCAGGGUGCUGUUGCAGGGUCACCUGCCUGUUACCACACCCCCAUCCAGCUGGGUGGUGGGUGAGGGUGUGAGACAGGCAGGGAGACCAGGUAAUGAGUGGCUGCAAGGAGUCAUAUAGCCUGGGUGUGGGUGAGGGUCUGCCUGCCUGUUUCUGUCUGGGUGUCUGAG